rnacentral:lncRNA from 1 species
GAAAUCUCUUUCUGUUCAAAAAAAAAAAAAAAAAAAAUAAAGAAGAAGAAGAAGAAGAAAAAUCAUCGUUCGUUGUCUCUAGAAAAACUCGUAUCUAGAAAAAUUUUUCGACUGCUACCUACGAGGAAGAUCCUCGUCGUAGCCUCGUCGUCAUCGAGACUGACUAAUAGCUUUAUCUAAUCGAACGGAGCAGACUAAAGAUUUUUGCGACGUGUACGCGAUCAAAUCGCGUGCACACGCGCAUAACUCGCUCAAGAUAUUGAUACCAAGCUUCUUAGAUUUCAACGGAGCCCCGUCUAUCUUCAGCGAUUAGCGAAUCAGAAAAAUCUGGUAACACGAAACUCCGGGUGCGAUCAUUUCCUCCUUUAUCAGAGGAUUUAUAUGCUCUUUUAACUCUUCCGACGUCAUUCGUCUUCCAUCGUGUACAAGGAAAAACUCACUCUCCCUAUAUUUCCCUAUGAAUCGAUGUUAUUUUUUUCUUUUUUUUUUUUUUUAAUCACAAUCUACUAUAUAUAUAUAGUAGUUAUCGCAACGAACCGAAGUAUAGAUAAGAAUUUUACUUCAGUUUUUGAUCGGAUUCAUUAUACUUCCAUAAACAAAUCUAUCCACCGAACGUGCCUUUUUGCAUCAUCCCGACGAAUGAUUAAUGGACAUUGGCGUUAACAACCAACGUAUGAAGCUGGACACGUCCAUCAGCAACAUAAUAUUAAUACAACGUGUAUACACCAUCUAUACGAAAACAAUGCAUCUCGCUGAUUGUAAUUGAUAAAUCAUCAGAGUAUAUAUAUAUAUUUCUGUUUCCAGGUAUACACGCAUCAUUUGAUACACAGGGUAUAUUUCCAUUAGUGAUCAUUUUUAACCCGAAACUGUCGAGGAUGAGCAACUGACAGCUUCUCGAAGAAGCGCAAUCGAGGCAGAGAAUGUGAACUGAACGACACGUGGAGAGAUUAGGAUGCAGCCUCCACCGGACGUGAUUUAAACGAAAAAAUGAUAAAGUGGAUCGUGUAAAUCUAUGUGGAGGAACAAUCGGACGGUAUGAAUUUGUAUAUGAACAGUAUUAUGAUGGACAAGGGGAGGGCAGUGAUGAAAGGUGAACGAACCGGAGAAUCGUGCAACGUGAACGACGUUGGCGCAUCCACGAGGCCGGGCCAAAAAGACUUCUGGCUCGUAGCUGGCAAUGUUUGAAGUGCCGUCGCCGGAAGCUUACAAACACCGGCCCGGUGUUGUGACAUCGUAUUAUGCCAAGCGAAACUUACGAUCUCGCUAGAUCGUUAAUUUGCGAUCCAGCUUUACGACGUCUAGUUUGCACCGAACCACCGAUGUACUUGGCAAAAAUUCGUCAAACAACUAGCCCACCAAUACUCCAUAUAACUAUCGCACGAUCUCCUCCGUUCCAGGCAAAUUAUUAUUCAAACAACGAAUAUAGUAAAAUUUUGUAAGAGUACAGUGCAAAAAUAUUGCAUCAGUAGAGAUAAUUCACAAUUAUUUUCGCGGGUAGGAUUGUCAAAAGCGGUUUGCAAAUGUGGCAGAAUAUACAGAGAUCGCGUGGAAAUAUACCGGAGAAGUGCAUCAGGGGUUGACACUGAAAAACGUUCUCGAGAAAUCUGUCGAGGCGGUUGGCUGGAACACGUGGUCACCUCGUUAAUUCGCUAGACAGCCAUUAAAUUAAGCUCCUAUACCGGUGAAUGCUUUGAACGAAUAGGGAAAAAGAGGAUCGACAUAGCUGGAUUCUUCAAAGGACAAAAAUUUUAGAAAUAACUUUUGGAUUACUAUCGGUGUACUUGCUGGAAGAAAUAUUGCUUGGAAAGAAAGUGGUAAAUGAUUAAAUGAAGUGAUAUAUCUCUAAUAUAUCAUUAUAUAUCUAUAUAUCUAAGUGUGUUAAUCAUGAAUCCACAGAAUCCAUAGUCUUUCAUAGAGAUAUUAAGAAUUGGUGAAUGAUAAUUUCAAUUUUUGUAAAUUAAAAGAGAAAUAAUAGGUGGAAAUAUGGGGAAAUACCGCUUGAUAAAUUACAUGUUUUAUAAACAAACAAAUGAAAGUUGGUUUAUUGUUUCUGAUGAUUUAGCUUGUUUGCACUACAUACAGAGUUCAACAUGACUAAAGAUAGAGGGCCUAUAAACACUUCUGUAGAUCAACAAAUGAAUGAGAUUUAGAACGUCAGGAUAAACUUAUAUCUUUGAUCCUUUGUUUUUCAUCAUAUUUUAACUCUAUUUCAUAUAAGAGAGACGAUCAAAUAAUUAUAAAUCAGCAAAUUAAAUGAUUCUUCUCGGAAAAUUAAUAGGUUAAACUCAUUGAAAAUUUUGAAAAUCGAUCAAAUGUAAUCCGAGAUUGAAAGAUUGAAUUAUGCUUUAACAAUUUACAUUCUAUUCCUUUCCCUAACAAGUGUAUCAACAUACAAGCGAUGGAAGUCAGGUCGUGGGAGAGGAAAGAUCAGCAUAGGUCGACAAUGUGAGAGGCAACUCUUCUCUUAUCUGCUGCCUCGAUAAAAAGCUCCUCUCCGCUUUUCCUUCAACUUAUCAGCGGUUCGUUUAUUUUGAAUAACUAGUUCGCGUGUCUGCCCCAGAAUUAUCGUCCCAUGACCACCUAAUAAUCACAUAUUCUUCCUUCGAUAUUGCUUUAAUUUAAACUCGGCACGGAGUACACUCCUACACAACUGGCCUGAUUUAGCCUGUUAGCCAUAGUAAGACGAGCUUCUAUCGAUUUCUCGAGCUCGCUUUGUAAGCCUAUACCACAUCCGAUCGAUCCACAGGUUGAAUCAAAUAUAAGUUCAUUCAUGGAAGAGGGCUAUUCAAUAAAUUCAACUGUCUAUGCUCAAACUGGACGAUUCUACUCUCUACUCGAAAUUUGAAUAAAGAAGAGACGACGAUUAUUUAGAAAUGGAAUGGUUAAUAAUAAUUCGACGAAGAGACGCAGAUCGGAUAGUUGCGAAAUUUUCGAGGUCACGACCUCCAUUUUUCUCUUUUUUCUUUCCCUCGUAUGCGACGAUAAGCAACGCUGCUCAACACUCUCGAUUAUCGGUACACUCUCGACUGAACUGUUUGACGAGCGUUAAUUUGAAAAUCCAUGAAAAUUCAAUGAUUUAUAAUAAUCAAUCCUUCGCGAUGAUCAAUUGCCUGUGUGAUUUUACAAUUGUAAAAAAAAUUCAUGGAAUACCAUGCAAUUAUUUUUUAAACAAACGAUCUCUCAUGGUCCUCCAUGAUUUUACAGAUAAUUAAAUGAUUAAGAUUAAG